CAAGCUGAUCCCGCGGAACACAAGAACGAGGAGAAGGAGCAGAAGAAGACCGGAGGAAGGCGGAGGAGGAAAUCCCGCGAGAAAAGAAGAGACAGACAGACAGAUACACGCAGAGAGCAUAGAGAACAUCAAGUGAGAAACCAGCCGCAUGUGAGGUGCGCGAGACCCCCGCGGUGAGGGGACUAAUCGUUAAUUUGGAGGAGAGCAACGGUUAUUUUUGUUUUUUCCACUUUGACGGAGAAAGAGGCUCUCCGAGAAAAGCUUCGAUGUUCGUCCUGAUGGUGUUGUUUGUGUAACAGAUCACACUUCAGUGAUCCCCCAUCCUUCUUUCUCAUCUUUUUUUUGUGCUUCAUCCAAACGUUACCUCAGCAGCUGCAGAGAAGGAUGCCUUUGAAAUAUGCUGUCAGUGCCAAUCCAGUAUGACUUAUAAAGUCGACAUGUUUGUGUGCCUUUUUCCUCCAAAAGCACACAAAGAAUAAUAAAAGUUUAUUUGUGUAGUAUCUUGCAAAA